AUAGACACAAAUAACGUUGAAUCAAGUUUAUCAGGCAAUACCUUAAAUUUUGAUGCAAAAACAGGUGAAACAAAUGAAUGCGAUACACCAGUGUCAAUCAAAACAUGAGAAAGAUGGUUGUAGAUAAUAUACAUACCCUGUACCACGUCCGAGUUGGCUUCAGCAUCCUGUUGGGUAAGGUUGUAAGCUCUGCCCUGAAUCGAGGUCUACCCUGAUUCUGGUUCCUUGGGCACUCUCUCGCAUAAUGUUGGGCACUACCGCAUAUGCGACAGGUGUUGUUGAGGCAGUAGCAGGUUCGGUCCCCAUGAUCCCUACCAUAAUGCUGACAGAUCUUACCACAUCCUACCACCAGAGCCUGUAGGGGAGCCUGGAUCACCGGCCUGGGCCUCUUGUUCUG
rnacentral:lncRNA from 1 species